AGAUGUGAGGGCAAUCUGGCUGUGACAUCUGUCACCCCAUUGACCGCAGGGUUGAUUCGCUGAUCCUGCUGGCUAGGUGGGUGUCCCUUCCUCCCUCACUGCCCCAUGUGUGUCCCUCCUGUCCUUCACCAAAUAGAGGAGGUCACCAAAUAGAGGAGGACUGGUCUUUGGUUGAAGGUAUAUGAGUAGCUGCGCUCCCCCGCUAGAACCUUCAAACAAGUUCUCAAAGAUGAGGGUUGUCAGAUAUAAUUAGUAUUGUUUGUUUUGGUGGUUUUAAAAAAGUUUUAUCUUUAAC
ensembl:misc_RNA 7SK 7SK RNA